UUUGUAAAUGUCCUCGUGUUUGCUCUCGGAGCAGACGGAGCCACAUGGCGUCACCUCACCCUCCACAUCCGGGUCACUGCUCAAUGUCCUUCCUUUGUUCGGAGCGUCGGCCGUGUGAUUAUUGGUGUCCAAAAAAGAUGGGCAAAAACGUAAACCCGAGGAUGAGAGGAGAACGGGACGAGACGAGGAAAGAGAAAAUGAAGGAGCGGAGGAGGGAUAAUAAAAGAGGAUGUGGAAACGAGGAUGAGUUGAGGUGCGGUCAAAGAAGGAGUGGGAGCAUGAUGGUCAGAAUAUGGGUGGAGACGAGAGGCAAAUGGACGGAAGGUGGGAGGACGGGACGGGAAGGAAAUGAGUGCAGGAAUGAUGGAUGAUGAAGAGAGAGGAGGGAGAGAAGAUGGAAGGAUCAGGGAAGAAUGGGAAAAACGUGAGUAAAAGAAAAAGAGGAGAUAAGAGGGAAGGAAAGGACGGAGCACAAAUUAAAGAAAUGAGGAGAAAAGAAAUGGAAGAGGGGGAAAAGAAAGUGUGUAGAAAACCUUUCAAAUGAGCAUUUACAAGUCAUAACUAAAACUCUGGGUAUUAAAUAUGAAACGUUAUUCCACGGUGUGUUCGAGGGCUGACUGACACGUUUGUGGUUUAAAGUAGACGCACGCGAGUCACAGUUCAACUCUCCGAGUGAUUAUGCAAAAGAUUUGAAGUUAAUGACUUCUGUGGCGUUCAGAGGACGAGUGGCGUCCGCGGCAGCCAAUCUCUCUGGAUCCGCCUCGAAAGUGGCGAGAUUGCCCAUUGACAUGUGACCAUUGACUCAUCAGACCGUCAGAGAUAAGCAUCUCUGAUCGGGAGCCCUGGAGCCAAACGCCUGAAAGGUUUCUGCAACUCCAUCGGUCAGAUCUUUCACCCGUCUUCUCUUCCUUCGUCCUCCACUCUCUCUCUCUCUCUCUCUCUCUCUCUCUCUCUCUCUCCCUUCCCUGCGGCGUACAGUGAACAUACAGUAACAUAUCAGGGAGCUGAUAGUGUUGUUGAUGUGUGACUCAGCGUUUACGCCAGCCGACACUUUCCAAAGUCACAGCGCACCUGGAAGUUAAAGGAGAAGCUUUUUUUUCUUUAACCUCCGACAUGCAGGUUCUGUUUUCACUUCCUGUCCCGAUGGUUUGUUUGUUGUUUUUUUCCAGUGAACUUGGUGAGACGCUGGGACACGAUGGGCCAAGAGAGAAUUCAUAGAAUUCUGGCGUGGUUCAAAGGACAAAGCGGCGGAUCCAGGAAUACCUUGUUUUUUUUUAUGUUUCCAGGAGAUGGAUGUUGAUGAGAUGAAUCAGGAACUUUUAGUGGACUGAUUCUGUGGGGGUGUGAUUUUGGUGCAGCUUGACUGAAUUUAAAGAAACUUGUCUGAGCUC